AACCUUAUGGACCUGCGGGCGUAUACCUGCGGAAGGAUCAUUACAUUCAGUAGCCUAGCUACUUGUUUACACCCUUGUUUUUUUGCGCACUUCAUUGUAUCCCUCGGCGGGCUUGCUCGCCGGUUGGACAACAUUUAUAACCUUUUUUAAUCUUCAAUCAGCGUCUGAAUUAUAUUUAAUAAUUACAACUUUCAACAAUGGAUCU
rnacentral:misc_RNA from 1 species